GUGGUCAUCAGCAAGUGUGGAGCCAAACGACAACAAGAAUCUCAGAGGGCGGAGCCAGAGAGCAGUGAUUGGUCAGACCAAAGAUAGAAGACAGUGCGCUAGCGUAUCUAGUCUGUGUGUAUCUAUGGUCUGCACGUCUGGUAGCAUCUCUGGCUGCUGUUGACCUUGUUUUUGGAGUAAAACACGGUGGAAGCUGAAUUAGUGAGGAUGACUCCUGCUCCUGUCAUCUCUAAGCUCCUCACACAUCUUUACCUGCACAUGAGGAAAAUCACUCCUGUAGAAUGCAGAUGUUCAGAGGGAGAUGAUGCCACAUCUGGUCCAGCUGAUGGAAGGUCUUGAAGUUCUCUGACUGGCCUGGACUGGCCUGGUCUCACUGGAUUUAAGGUUCAGAUGCUCAGUAACAAACUCCACCAAUGUGCUAACAGGGAAGCUUUAGGUUUAUUAAAUGUUGCUAUGAAGGUUUCGCUGUUUUUCUUUGUGAAUGCAAUGUGCUCCAACUGAAACUUGAAUUAGAACUUAGAAGUAAAUCCUUCCAUCUGAAAGGAUUUAGUUGCAUUAAUAACCUCAUAACAUUCUAAUUUUUAUUCCAGUCUUGGUUGAAAAUAGAAUCUCUGUAUUGAUUCAGGUAAAGACUGAACUUCACAGCAUGUUGAAGCAAAACAACCAGAUGAAAACUGUGAUGGUGUUGGAUUGUCAGACCGUAAUGUUGCAGCUCAAAGCAGCUUUUCUAUCUCAGUUCAUUCUGACAUUCGGCUAUGAAUCAACACAGCAGAUGGUGAUCCAUGCUGUGGAAGUCUCACAUCUCCUGAUUUAAUGGAGCUGCUUUGCACUUUUUACACUGUUUAUUCACCAACACUUUAUUUAAUAAAAGUCCCAUCUAGUUUUCAUGAGGAAUGUGAUGUUUAAAUUUCUCUGUGAAUAACUGCAGUCUAAUGCAACAGCUGGAAUUGUAACAUCUGUCCUGAUGUUGAUCAUGAAGUAUUGAUCAGAAUACUUAUGGUUAGCAGUCAUCCCUGAAGUUUUACAUUAAAAUCUUUACUUGUGUUGUGAACUUUGGUAAGAAGCAGAAAUGUUAGCGUUGCCAUGGAUACAUGAGUGUUAAAUUCUGUCCAUGUUUCCAUUUUGGGAAAUGCAGUCCGGUUCCAGAAUGUGGAGGAAUUUAGUCUCACAAUCACAGACAACAAAUAUUAUCUGAAAGUCGGGUUAUUGUUGUUUAUCAGCACAAUACAAAAAAGAUUAAUGUUAGAAAUAUUCCAGUUAAGACUCUAGAAUAUCAUGAUUUAUGUAAAUUUACCUCAAUAAUAUGAAUUGAAGAUUGUACAGUGAUAUUAUGUAAGUUUAGCUGAUUAAAGUUUAUGACUCUGCACUAAAAUAUUAUUUAAAUUGACAUCAUUAUUAUAAUAUUUAGGGUCAGACCCUACAGUAUUGAGAGUAAGAAAUCAAAUAUUCUAUAAAAUGUAAAUACACUGAACUCAUUUGGAUAUAUUUAAGUGAGACUCUACAAUAUUAUUUAACACAAAUCUAUCUAAAUCAAAAUUUUUAUAAUUUUCACGCCAAACAUUUACUGGACUGAUUUCAAUAUUAAAAUCACUCCUUUCUAAUCCUCUGCUGUACGUUCAAACCUGAGGCCUUAAAUAGAAACACACAAGUAUCUGAUUGAAGGAACUUCUGCAGAGUCCUGGUUCCAGAACAUGAUAAUAGAAUUAUAGACAAACUUUAACAAAAGCUGCCUGAGAGUUUACAGGUUUUUAUGUUAGAUUUCUUCAGUAAUUUAAUGAGAGUUAUCAGCAAAAAUCAAGCGUUCAUUUGAUGAACUUCAUUUCCUAAAACAUCCAGAAUUGGAGCUCAUAUCUUUGGCAGCUGUAAAGUUUCUGCUCCUUCAAAGUUCACAACACAAUGAAUGAAUUCCUAAACACACUCAAUGCUGGAGAGUGUUUGAUGCUGAAGCAGUGAGCAGUUUUUCUGUUUCUUCUCUGGAGAUGCACAAUGAGGGACGUCUGCAGCGACUAAGAAAGAGUCUGACCACAUCCUUACACGAGGAAAAAGACUUUAUUGAAGACUACAAUGAGAAAAACUAUCAGACAGCAGACCGCUGCAUUCAAGGUGAGCUCUGAACAUUUGAUCUGGAACAGGAAUUCAAUAACGGCAGCAUGAGCUUCAUUUCAGUCUGUAGCUGCUGAAUUCAUGGAUGAAUCAUCUGGUACUAGAGAGGAAGACCAUCAAACAUCCACGUCAGCUGAUGGAGGUCCAAGAGUCUCACCAAACAAACAACCUACAGAGUGAAGACCUUGAAUCUGAUUGGACGGCCUCCUAUUCAGCCACAUUUUAGGCUGUUAGAUUGUUCCAGAUAAGACAAGUACAAGAUACUUCAGAGCCGUUCUACCACGAGCCUGACAGGAAGAACUCCAACAGCUACUGAAUGUUCCUGUGGUCCCCUCAAGGCUACAGGAGGAGCCCUACGAGGACGAGCCGGUCCACCUGAUGGUGGCCAGUCGCUGUGGUUCAAAGCCAACACUGACUAUGUGGACUUCUACUGGACCACAUGGAGGCCUUCAAACCAGACCAACAAGUUCAGCGACUCCCCGACUCGUGGGUCUGAGGAUGCCGCCGAGCCUCGGUCCAGCCGGCCUCCUGUCUGUGGGUGUUUGAGUGCUGAGAGGUUUGUGGAUGCAUGUGAACGUAUCUGUGCUGAAACAGCAGCUUUGGACUCAACGCUUGGAAAAACCAAGAGCUCCUUUAUUUGUGACUUCCACUGAAAAAAAACUGAAGAAAAUAAGUUUGCCAGGGUUCUGACUGAUAACAGAUUAUUAAAUAAUGAAAAUAACAGUUUAAAUAUUCCUUUAAACAUUUUAGGUCUACGUUUCUUUUACACUGACUUCUUGGUAUUCUGGGUGGAAUAUACCAUUAAGCCCAAUGUUCAAGGGUUCUUCUGGGAAUAUACCAUUAAACCAACCUUUUAGGUAAAUGUUCCAGGAUGUUGGGUAGAAUAUACCAUCAGAUCAACCUUUUAGGUCUACAUUGGAAGAUUUUAGAGUAGAAUAUUACUCCAAACCAUCCUUUAGGCCUACAUUUAAGGUGGAAUAAUCCUUUACACCAAGAUUUUUUGGUCUUGUUGUAAACUUCCUCUUUCAAAUAAAUAGCCUCCUAACCCCCUGGAAACCAGCAUUUGUCCUGUUUUUGUGUUGCUCCUCGGUGACCCUAGACAGCCGGGUCGUAAUGUUUUUUGAGCAACACACCAUACUAUGACGUUUUUACAAUGAUGGUUCUACUAUGGAACAAGUUUGACAUGUUCAGGCGUUCUUUGUGUGAAAACUCAGAGAUUUCAGGUAUCAGAAGGUGGUUUUCAACUUUCUUUGUGAACUUUCUGCUUCAACUUUAAACUAAAUUUCCUUCACUAACCCAGCCCUUUGGACUUCCAGUAAGCUGUGUUCCUAUUGGCUGUCCAGGUGGCUGCUUGGUAUUAUCAGGAACACCUGAGCAGCUAGGUGUUAUCAGGAACACCUGAGCAGCUCAAUGUCCUCCUGCUUUAUUUAGCUGCUGUCAAACAUUUCCUCUGUUUCUCUUCACCACUGAAAUGGGUUUGGCUACGUUGCUUUAGGUCGUUCUUUAGGUGUUGGCUUGCAGCUUCCAGUAGUAAAAUCGUCUUUAAUGUGUUUCAGGGCUUUGUACUGGAUAGUUGUCUUGGUAAAUGGGGUUCUUUAGCCACAGUUAGCACAUGGUGCUAAUGUGUGCAAUGAUUAGUGGAUUUGGUGCAGCUGAGUUGUGUCUUUAUCUUGGCUGUAGUGAGUCUUUAGAGGUUUUUGGUCAGACACAUUCUGUAUUCUUGUUUGUGAACCAACGUUGGUUGUCCAGAAGGUAAGAGUUCCUGUCCUGAUUCUCUGUUCUCAGAGCUUCUCUGGUAGACUGCAGGAGACUUUAGCGUUUGGGUUGUGCCAGUUUGGUUUUUGUACGGUUUCAUUUGGACGACUAUCUUGAGGCCCCUCCAUGUGGUUUAGUGAGGUUUUUUGCAACAGUUCUACAAAGCAACCUGCAGCAGAAGAGACUUUGAGAGUUUUUAGAAAGUUCUGGAGACCAGACUUUAGAGCAGCAGAAACAUUUGUCAGCAGUUUGAGCAGGAGAAGGUGAGCUUCAGAGCUGAAAUGAGAUGGAAACCUUCUUGACCCGUGUGGUGAGGUCCUGUACCAAGAGUUUGAGCAGGUCGUGAAGAGUCUGUAGUUCUUUGGUCUGAAAGCACAAGAAGAAUCGACUCAUUAAAGGAGAAAACAGGAGAUAUUGUUGGUUCUUCUGUCAUUCUGCAGUUUCCUUAGACUGAAUAUCAAGUUUGUAUUUUAAAUGAUUUGCCAUGUGAGCCCAAGAAGACUUCAAUAAACUCCCUCCAUCCCCUGGACACAACAUAUUUUAUUGCCAUGUUAAAUCUUUUUUUAAAAAUAUGUUUUUGAGUUUUAAUCAUAGUUUUAGCAUAGUUUUUUGUCUUUGCUUGUUUUGUUUUGUCAUCUGUGUGAAAGGU